UCAGCGACUUACAUUCAGUGGCAAGGUUAACCAGAUUGGGGAGCCGUAGAGAAAUCGAGUCCGAACAGGGCGCCAGUCGCUGGGUGUAGACCCGAAACCAAGUGAUCUAUCCAUGGCCAGGUUGAAGGUGCGGUAACACGCACUGGAGGACCGAACCCACUAAUGUUGAAAAAUUAGGGGAUGAGCUGUGGAUAGGGGUGAAAAGGCUAAAACAAAACUYGGAAAAUAGCUGGUUCUCUCCGAAAAACUAUUUAGGUAGUGCCUCAAGUAUUACCUGCGGGGGUAGAGCACUGUUUAGGCUAGGGGGGUCAUGGCGACUUACCAAACCUAUGCAAACUCCCGAAUACCGCAGAGUACAGCUUGGGAGACAGAGCACCGGGUGCUAACGUCCGUCGUGAGAGGGAAACAACCCAGACCGCCAGCUAAGGCCCCUAAGCGUGUGCUAAGUGGGAAAGGAUGUGGAGUUGCUGAGACAACCAGGAGGUUGGCUUAGAAGCAGCCACCCUUGAAAGAGU
rnacentral:sRNA from 1 species